UGAAGGACUGGGGAGACCAGGCUCAGUUCUCAGGAGUCUGCUCAUAAUGCCAGCUCUUCUUUAUGAAAAAUGAGGAAGGGGAACACUAGAGCAGCAGGGGUUGCAGGUGUCCCCCCUGCCUCUGUGAAAGGAACCUACCUCGGCCCCUCCUCUGGCACUGAGCCUCGCACUGACCGGAGGCCGCCGUGGACGUCACAGACUUGGCCCUUGUUCUCAGGAGCUUCAGUCUAACCAGGAAGCAGAUAAAUAGGCAAUUAC
rnacentral:lncRNA from 1 species